rnacentral:rRNA from 1 species
UUGACCUCGGAUCAGGNAGGAAUACCCGCUGAACUUAAGCAUAUCAAUAAGCGGAGGA